GGUUAAGAGACCUGGUUAGGGCAUCAGCAUGUCUUGGCAUGAAUCCCAGGUCUGCUACUAAUUUUUGUGACUAGGGACUGAUGCUAUAACCUCUCCGGAUCUCCUUUCCUUGAAUGCACAGCAGGGGUAAAAGCACCUACCUCGUGUGUGCUCGGUUGCAGACUUAGAGUCCUUCCUUGGAAUGCUUUGCUCUGCUCUUCUUGGCUUGUUGGGCUCCCCGAGAUCUCCCUGGAAAACAUCUUCUGCGCUGGGUGUCCCCUUUUUAUAAAUGCUCCCAUGGGGAAAGUUCUGAUUCAUCCACUCCAGCUAAAUGGGUGAGACUCAGAGGGAUCAGAUGGAGAAGCUGGCUUUGGGGAAGCCUCACACUCUUCAUUAGUCAACAACAAAGAUAACAGCUACCAGGAUUUGAGCACUUACUUGGAUUAUCAUAACAGCCCUAUGAAGGAGAACCUGUCAUGAUCACUCCCAUGUUACAGCCUCUGACCUCCUGAAAGAAACACCGCAGGUGCAGUCAAAAGACUUGGAUUUGCACGAGCUGUGUAACCUGGGGCAGGUGCCUUCCCCACUCUGGGCUUCCGUUUUCCUGAAUGCAAAACGAAGAUAUUUGGUUAGUUGACUUCUGAAUGGCAUUCCAACCAUGAAAACUCCCAGUUGUUCCAGAGGUCCCAGAUGAACAAUUUCUGGUGGCUGCAAGCAUUCCCAGCAAAUGAUGGCAUGUUCAAGGCAUUAUGCAGGUCAUAAUCCCAUCUCACCUUCCUUUUAUCACCCUCUCUUUCUACUCUCCUCUUCAUCUCUCUUGUUUUCUUCGCUUGUUAUUUUAGUCUCUCUUUCCUCCCUCCCUACUUUCAUUUUUCUUUCAUUCUCUCAUGUUAUAGACUGAAUUGUGGCCUCCCCAGGCUCAUAUGUUGAAGCCCCAAUUGGCAAUGUGACUGUUUGGAUAUAGGGACUUUAGGGAGAUGAUUAUGAUUAAAUGAGGUCAUAAAGGCAGGGCUCUAACCCAAUAGGACUGGUGUUCUUAUAAGAAGAAGAAGGGACAUCAGAGAUCUCUCUCAGAGCACAGGGAGAAGAAACGCCAUGUGAGGACCCAGCAAGAAGGUGGCUGUCUGCAAGCAGAGAAGAGAGCACUCACCAGAAACAGAAUUUGCUGGCACUUGUAUCUUGGACUUCUGGCCUCUGGAAGUACUCUUGCUACUAUCUGCAUCGAUCUACACUGGGCUUGAGCAUGAACAUCCUGAGGGGCCACCCUGCUCUGAUGCCAGGCCCUGCAGGGGCUCCAUGACCAUGGGGCAUGAGUGAGUUCACAGCACUGAGAUGCACAUGAACAGGGCUUCAAACCCCAGCUCACCUCUGAUGCCCCUUGUGACAGCUCUUCACCUGACAAGAGGAUGUUGUCAUCUUCCUGACAUCCCCCAGCACCUGCAUAGUGAGAUGCAAAUCUACCUCAGGGCACUCAGAUGCCACCAGACAUGGAUGUAGCCACCGAUUCUCCAGACACAUCUUGCCCUUUCAUUUGAUGCUCUACUGGAUCUUAAAAUGACAGUCAGGCUACCUGUUUCCUGUCUGCACACCUUUGGCUACACUCUCUGCUACUCAUCUUUCAAGGCCAAGUUCAAACAUCACCUCCUCACGGAAGCCCUCCUGGUGUCCUCCUGAUUGUUCCUACAACCUCUGCAUCUAUUUCCACAGCAGCCCUUGACACAUCAUGUCCUGUAACAUGUCUGCUUGUCCAUUCUCCUCUGAGUGUGAGCUCCUUGAAGACACAGCGAUUCUCCAGGGCCUAGCACAAUCUCUGCCAUAUAGUAUGUGCUCAAUAAAUACUUACUGAAUAAGUGAAUAAAUGGAGCAAUAACAUACUAAUUGAGUGGAUGAAUAAAUGGAGGAAUAACUAUAAAAUUGGCUGGAAUCGUGGUAUCAUUCUCUAAACUUCCAGGGACAUCAUUAUACUUUAUUAUCACAAUAUUUUUU
rnacentral:lncRNA from 10 species